CAAUGGGCGAAGCCUGAUGCAGCGACGCCGCGUGAGCGAAGAAGUAUUUCGGUAUGUAAAGCUCUAUCAGCAGGGAAGAUAAUGACGGUACCUGACUAAGAAGCACCGGCUAAAUACGUGCCAGCAGCCGCGGUAAUACGUAUGGUGCAAGCGUUAUCCGGAUUUACUGGGUGUAAAGGGAGCGCAGGCGGUGCGGCAAGUCUGAUGUGAAAGCCCGGGGCUCAACCCCGGUACUGCAUUGGAAACUGUCGUACUAGAGUGUCGGAGGGGUAAGCGGAAUUCCUAGUGUAGCGGUGAAAUGCGUAGAUAUUAGGAGGAACACCAGUGGCGAAGGCGGCUUACUGGACGAUAACUGACGCUGAGGCUCGAAAGCGUGGGGAGCAAACAGGAUUAGAUACCCUGGUAGUCCAAGGGCGAAUUC
rnacentral:rRNA from 1 species